rnacentral:lncRNA from 1 species
UCUUUCCCUACACGCUAGAGACAUAAAAAUGAAAAUUAUCAAAUCUACCUAUGAGAGCAUCCCCGGUCCCAGCCCCCGGCCGGGGCGGGCCCGCGGAGCCCGGCGGUGGCGGUGCGCGGCCGCCCGCCGAGCCCCUGCUGCUCCGUCGCCCUGUCGAGGUUUGCUGGUCAGUUGCAAAACGCCGGUGUACUUUACUUAGAGCACCUCCCCGCAGCCGGGAUGAGACAGGCUCCUGGGCAGGUUCAGAGACAAAGGCAGUGGGCAGCACGCAAGCAUGAGGCUUACUGCAGGCUCCAAUGAACCAGACCUUCAAACCUUCAGAAAUCAGGUUAUGGAGAGGUCACCUCGGUCAUUCGUGUGAAUGAGCACUCACAGGAGCACUGACAUCUGAACUGGCAUUUCCAAACUAUUGAUACCAAUCACCGCACACAGCCUCCCUAG